AGCGGGGUGGAGCAGUUGGCAGCUCGUCAGGUUCAUGCCCUGAAGGCCGCAGGUUCAAGUCCUGCCCCCGCUACCA
rnacentral:tRNA from 1 species